AAUAAAUCAGCAGUGUGGAAAUCGUUUGGAUUUCAGAGAAAAUGCAAGUCAACAGACAGAACUCAUAGUGUAUGUGAACAAUGGUGUUACGAUUUAAAAUAGGACAUAAGGUGACCGGCCUGGCCGGGCAUUUCCCUCCGUUAACUUCUCACUACAGCAACAUUAGCUGCUCUGUUUCAACAAUGUUCGGCUGAAAAAACAUGCGCGCAGGCUGAAAUUCAACCGUUCUGUUCUGUUGGGAGACGCAGUGACUAUAACAAAUGAGCUGGACCCAAGAAUCCCAAUGGAGAUACACACUGCAGGCCCAAUCUGAGACAGAGAUGACUGCUGCGUUUAUCAGCCAGGAAUCGACACCAAAAUGUGCAACUGAGACGGUACACAGCAUCUGAACAGACAACGAGCCGCACUGAACCAGAGCGCCAUCAAUCAACAUCCAGGCAUCGACAACAAGAGACGAGAAGGUGGAAUGAAUUUUCACCUCGUUCUCCCACCAAACAAA